ACCUAAGGUAGAGGUGCUGUAAUUAAGAGUAUUUACUAGUAGUCGGCAGAUUAAGAUAAGUAAAAAAAGGGAUUACAGCCGAAGAUAAUCAAAUUGGCAAAUUUAUUAUCUGGCGUUAUGCAUAAUAUGUAUGACGCUGUCAUGUUGUUAUUAAUAUGGAGAGCUACAAGGUUA
rfam:Clostridium novyi NT, complete genome.